rnacentral:rRNA from 1 species
CACCGCCCGUCACACCAUGAGAGUCGAUUGCUCCAGAAGUGGCUGCGCUAACCCGCAAGGGAGGCAAGUCCCCAAGGAGUGGUCGGUAAUCGGGGUG